CGGCGACGGCGGCGGCGGCGACGACGGCGACGGCAACGGCGGCGGCUGCAAUCGGCGAUGUCUUCCUCCUCCCGCGCGUCGUAAUCAGGCGGAGGUCGCGGGCGUAGGGCUCCAUCAAGGUCGCCCGUGCAAGAAGUCUCCUCCCUGGAAGAUACUAGUGCUGCGUCCAUGAAAUUUGGCAUAGUGAUCCCUGCUCCCCAAUCCUUGCAGAACUACUGCUCGAUCUUAGGGCUGCAAUCAGGAGGUUUGAAGCUGCAGGUGGUGAUGACUGGCAACCAUGAUUGGAACAGGGCCAAAGAAUUGGAACAGAGGAUGCACUGAGUCAACAAGUUCUAGAGAAGAAUGCAGAGAUUGAACCAAAAAUGUUAUUGGCAGGUGUAUUUACAGGAUUUGUACUGCAUUAAUAGCUAGAAGAAAAAUGUAAUGCCAAAAUCUUGUAAUGGCUGAAUGAUGUAAUGGUUGGAUGAUGUAAUGAUAUUCCAUGCUGCUAUUUA